rnacentral:lncRNA from 1 species
AACCUCUAAACCUUUCUUAUUUAAAUUGAUUCCCAGUUUGCUUGAAAUAUUGUGGUGAUUGUUUGAUUUUAAUUUCAGUAAAAGUGUGAAUGUAUGCCUGAUACACAUACACCAAUUAAUCCGCACAUAGUAAGGGCAAUCACCCCAACAAGAUAAGAACUGAAUUUCAUCACCAGAUUCUUGCCCAAAUUAGGUGAAUCAAUUUUCACAUAGCUAUCAUUUUAAUUAAAAUCAAUUAGACGUUGGCCCCUAGGGACAUUCGAGCUCAAUAGGACGAAGAUCACCGAAAGUUGCACCAAUUUCGCUCUGUGGCUCAGUUGAUGUCUCGGCAAGCUUUGUCCC